GAGCGGAUGACGGGAGCUUGCUCCUUGAUUCAGCGGCGGACGGGUGAGUAAUGCCUAGGAAUCUGCCUGGUAGUGGGGGACAACGUUUCGAAAGGAACGCUAAUACCGCAUACGUCCUACGGGAGAAAGCAGGGGACCUUUGGGCCUUGCGCUAUCAGAUGAGCCUAGGUCGGAUUAGCUAGUUGGUGGGGUAAUGGCUCACCAAGGCGACGAUCCGUAACUGGUCUGAGAGGAUGAUCAGUCACACUGGAACUGAGACACGGUCCAGACUCCUACGGGAGGCAGCAGUGGGGAAUAUUGGACAAUGGGCGAAAGCCUGAUCCAGCCAUGCCGCGUGUGUGAAGAAGGUCUACGGAUUGUAAAGCACUUUAAGUUGGGAGGAAGGGCAGUAAGUUAAUACCUUGCUGUUUUGACGUUACCGACAGAAUAAGCACCGGCUAACUCUGUG
rnacentral:rRNA from 1 species